AUUGAACGCUGGCGGCAGGCCUAACACAUGCAAGUCGAGCGAGCGGCGGACGGGUGAGUAAUGUCUGGGAAACUGCCUGAUGGAGGGGGAUAACUACUGGAAACGGUAGCUAAUACCGCAUACCAUCAGAUGUGCCCAGAUGGGAUUAGCUAGUAGGUGGGGUAACGGCUCACCCAGGCGACGAUCCCUAGCUGGUCUGAGAGGAUGACCAGCCACACGGGAACUGAGACACGGUCCAGACGCCUACGGGAGGCAGCAGUGGGGAAUAGUGCACAAUGGGCGCAAGCCUGAUGCAGCCAUGCCGCGUGUAUGAAGAAGGCCUUCGGGUUGUAAAGUACUUUCAGCGGGGAGGCGUUACACGCAGAAGAAGCACCGGCUAACUCCGUGCCAGCCGCCGCGGUAAUUC
rnacentral:rRNA from 1 species